rnacentral:misc_RNA from 1 species
UUGAAAUAAACCUGAUGGGUUGUUGCUGGUUCUCUAGGGAGCAUGUGCACGCCUUGUCAUCUUUAUAUCUCCACCUGUGCACCUUUUGUAGGCCUUCCAGGUCUAUGUUGCUUUUUCAUUUACCCCAAUGUAUGUUAAUAGAAUGUUGUGACUAUAAAAUCUAUA